rnacentral:tRNA from 1 species
CCCCAUUAAUAAAGGUUUAAUCCUUUUCUUUUUA